ACAGUGUGGCAAGACUGUUAGGAAUGCUGAGAACAAUAUUAUUGGUAUAGUUGACUUUUUUUCUUAUCGCCUACUAUACUACUAAAUUGUCGACAGUGGCUGAAGCCAGCAUUCGCAGACGAAAGGAGGAAGAGAUCAAGACGACGAGUCUUCGUUGGACUCACAAAAUCUCGACGCCUAUAAAAUUCGAAUAAAAUCAUCGGAGAGCGUGAACACAUCUGACCUCGGAGGGGUUGAAGUAAUUUACAGUAAAUUCGCGAUUAAAUUGAGCACGACCGGCUAUCGCGCGGCUGUUGUCAUUGCGGCUGUUACAUCAGCGUGUACCGUCCUGUGUAUCACGUAAUUCCAAUAGAAAAAUCAAUUGUUACGUAAUCCCGUUGCACGCGGUAGAACUGCGAUAUAAUUCCAGCAGCUGAUCUACGUAUCACCGUGGAACGCACAGAAUGCUUUUCUACCGGUACACGGCACAACGCGAUAGCGCGAUAAAGGAAUUGCCGCGCUCGCCAAAAUACAAUUGCGAUUACGAGUGCCGCUAUCGCGAGUGAACUUGUUUUCACGGGUUCAUCGCGGCGCAUUUCACCGACGGUUGUUCUUCGUUGUUGGAAAUUAAAAGCCAAUUUAUCCGAGCCGUUCGCGACCGCAACCUUCGACAGCCGAAUCAACGUGUCAUGCAAAUGUAUUCUCGCGACAGUGUUCUGAACACCUCUAUGCUAAUGCGCUCUCGUAAACAUAUUACAAAUACCCGUGGAUACACGAUAAAUCAUCGACCAUCGGUGUGAAGGGUUCGUAAAUUAUUCUGCCUCGUUGAAGGAAAAACGUCGAACGAAGAAUUGAAAGAUGAAACCCUCGCGACGUUACCGUUCGAGUAUUACGUGAAAUUGUAAAUUUUCAAGCUCGCGGCUACGACGCAUCUCUCCGCCUUUAUCUAACGGAAUGCAAACAAUGGCAUUGAACGUGUUAGGGGGAUCUCGCGAUUAAACGACGACGGGCCUGUAAAUCAAAUUUAAAGACUACCUUCGUUUCCCGUGUUAAACAAUCUAGGUACUUGUCUACUUGUAUACGUUACAAACAAAUCGAACGUUUCACCGUGCUCCCAAUUGAUCCGGAUUAAACGGGAAUAAUUGAGAAUUAUAUCGUGGAAAAUGGAGAUGGCUAAAAAGGAACAGCUUUCCUUCCGUUGACGAAGAAACCUAAAUGCUGCCAAGCGCUACCAUGCGACGCUGCUAUGCUGCAACUGUUAACCCCUUAUCAACCCCUUGCCUUUAAAGAAAAUUUAACGACAGUGAAAGCGCCUCGGCGUGAUUUGCCAGCAGGACCAGAAAUCUCAGCUCGAC